UACGUAGGGUGCAAGCGUUGUCCGGAAUUAUUGGGCGUAAAGAGCUCGUAGGCGGUUUGUCGCGUCUGCUGUGAAAACCCGAGGCUCAACCUCGGGCCUGCAGUGGGUACGGGCAGACUAGAGUGCGGUAGGGGAGAUUGGAAUUCCUGGUGUAGCGGUGGAAUGCGCAGAUAUCAGGAGGAACACCGAUGGCGAAGGCAGGUCUCUGGGCCACUACUGACGCUGAGAAGCGAAAGCAUGGGGAGCGAACAGG
rnacentral:rRNA from 1 species